rnacentral:rRNA from 1 species
AUUGAACGCUGGCGGCAUGCCUAACACAUGCAAGUCGAACGGGGCAGCAAUGCCUAGUGGCGGACGGGUGAGGAACACGUAGGAAUCUGCCCUUAAGUGGGGGAUAACCAGGGGAAACCCUGACUAAUACCGCAUGAUCUCUUCGGAGCAAAGAGGGGGACCGCAAGGCCUCUCGCUUCUGGAUGAGCCUACGUCUGAUUAGCUAGUUGGUAGGGUAAAGGCCUACCAAGGCGACGAUCAGUAACUGGUCUGAGAGGAUGAUCAGUCACACCGGAACUGAGACACGGUCCGGACUCCUACGGGAGGCAGCAGCGGGGAAUAUUGGACAAUGGGCGCAAGCCUGAUCCAGCAAUGCCGCGUGUGAAGAAGGCCUUCGGGUUGUAAAGCACUUUAGCCUGGAAAGAAAAAACUUUGGUUAACACCCAAAGUCUUGACGGUACCAGGAGAAUAAGCACCGGCUAACUCUGUGCCAGCAGCCGCCGUAAUAC